CAGCCGCCACGGUAAUACGAAGGGUGCAAGCGUUAAUCGGAAUUACUGGGCGUAAAGCGUGCGUAGGCGGUGAGUUAAGUCUGCUGUGAAAUCCCCGGGCUCAACCUGGGAAUGGCAGUGGAUACUGGCUCGCUAGAGUGUGUCAGAGGAUGGUGGAAUUCCCGGUGUAGCGGUGAAAUACGUAGAGAUCGGGAGGAACAUCAGUGGCGAAGGCGGCCAUCUGGGACAACACUGACGCUGAGGCACGAAAGCGUGGGGAGCAAACAGGAUUAGAUACCCCCGUAGUCCCUGUCUCUUAUAA
rnacentral:rRNA from 1 species